UUUUUUCACACUAUUGCGCCAUAACACUCUGGUUAGGCGGGAUAAUUUGGUUGGGAGCGCCAACAUCACCUCUUUGACUCUUUCAUCUUCUACAUGUUUCUUUCUGCCAUUAAUAACCAUAAAAACUCUUUUCUUCCUUUUUUUUUCAUCAACUUUUUCCUUCAUUUUUUUCUCUCAUCAUACUCCUAAUUACCAAUUCAUUCAAAUCAAAUUACCAAUUCUUCAAUUUUCCCCCAAAUGUUUUGCUUCAAUUUUUCUCAAAUUCGCUCGAACUCGAUUAAUUAGGGAUUCAAUUUUCCAAAUUAUAAUUUUUUUUCUCAAUUUGCUAUCGAAUUCGAUUAAUUAGGGAUUCAAUUUUCCCAAUUUUUAUAAUUUUUUUCUCAAAUUGGGCUCGAGUUCGAUUAAUUAGGGAAUCAAUUUUCCCAAUUAUCUUCUCAUUUUACUCACAAAUCUUCUUUCAAACCUUGAAUAAAAUUAUUUUUGAUUCUUGAGUUUUUCCCAAAUUCUAGGGUUUCGUGAAGAUUUUCAAGCAAUUUCAUGUUGGCCAGAAUCUGAAAAUUGGCGAUAGAUUUUUUGAUGUUUUUUUGCGUUCUUCCUCUCUACCAUUAGCGAUGGCGGACCACAAAGCCCACAAUAUGGAAGCUUAAAUUGAUAGUUUCGGUUUGUUUUCUUGAUCUUGUUGACUAAUUCAUUUGAUUACAAUUUGCUGCUUAAUGGUUGUUGGUGAAUUUCUAGACGAUUUUUCUUUUGGUUGAACAUGUUAUGCUUCUCUGGUUUUCUCUCAACUGAAUUUAACAAACUGGAAAUGAUUCUUGAUGAACUUUCUCUAAGGGCUAGCUUGUGUUUUUUAGCCAACUCCCUCAGAGAUAAUAUCUGAUCCGAACAAAAAAAAUGGAGUCUUGCUGCAUCUUCCUACCAACAAGUAACUACACCUCAUUUAUUUGCUCCAAUUUGGGUUUUUAUAUCAGUUAGUUUGUUACAAUCAAUCAAUUUCAAGUGCAAUUGAAUUCAAAAGUAACCUGCUUGUAUUUUUCAGUCAAAUUGAAAUUCAGAUUUUGGUCUGUUUCUCAAAAUGGUUAAUGCACUUAAAAUUAAUGGAUGGCUUUGUACCUUAUUAUUUUUUCUAUUUACAAUCGAAAACUCGUAUAUGUUUUAGAUGUUACCUAUAUUACAGAAUAUUGUUAAACUUGAUUUAUUUGGUUGCUUCUUUGAGUUUCGUGAAAUUUGUUACUGCCACUUAGUCGAUUGAGUGAUUGGUGAAUAUCUAGUGGUAAUUGGGGGGGGGGGGGGGGGGGGUUACUUAGCUAAUUGAAUGAAUUAUUAGUUGUUAUUUUAUCCAUCUUGCACCUGCAUCGAGUUAGAACCCAUCAGGUGCCCCUUUGGGUAAUAAACAAAGUUGAAUUGGAUUAAAAAACUUGACAGAAAAUUAUUGCUUGUAGUGACAUCUACUAUUGGGAAUAAUAUAUCUUAGUCUUAGAGAGGGUUGAAAAUGUCUCCCCACAGACUUGGUUUCGGAAAAUCAUGCCACUUAACUGUAGAAAUUGAACAUUAACCUUUUUGGGCAGUUAAACAAUGUAACUUACUGUGAUUCUGCUAGUUUUGAGGUUUGCGUACUGCUGUUUUGGUGUGUAUUAUUCUGUGCCGGUGUUUUGCGGUGAAAAGGUUGUCCCUGGCUCUCUGUUGAUUACACCUUAUCAUAUGAAGAGCUAGCUAACUGAAUAAUACUUCCUCCAUUCUUUAUUAAAUGACACAAUUUUUUUGUCACGUUUGCCAAUGCAAUAUUUCAACCAUUAAUACCUUUUAUUAUCAAUGGUUAAAAAUUAUAAAAGUUUGAUAUUAUAAAUCUAUAGGAUGAGACGAUUAUAACAAGACCCCACAUGACUAUAUUUUUUGUUAAGUAUAAAUCACAAUUGAUGGUCAAAGUAUAUUAUAUGAAUAGUUCCAAAAGUACAAUUGUGUCAUUUAAAAAAGAAUGGAGGAAGUAUUUGUUUUUUAUGCUAUACAUUCACAUAUAUCAGAAUGACCUGCCGCACAUUCUCUUAAAGAACACUUUUUACCAUGAUAGACAAAAUUUGUUUUGACCAGAUUUUCUUGCCAUGAGAGGCAGAACAAUAUACAUUGAAUAUUCAAGCAAGAACUUGGUUGAGGCUUGGAUAAAAUGUUGCAGAAGGAGAUUGAGCAUACUCGAACAACCAAGACAGAUGCAACUGCUGCAUUCCUAGCUUCACUAGAGGAUCCCAAGCUUCCUAGUCUAGGCGACACAGCGUUUCGUUUAUGAAUCAGGAAAAGGCUUCCAUAGGGACUGAAAUAGUCUGCCAUUCUUAAGAAGGCACUAUAAGAAAUAUGCCUAGUGGAGAAACAAGUGUACAGAUGAAACUUCCAACAAUGUGGUACCAAGCAGAUUCAGCAUCCAAGAAUACGUUUGGAUAGAUUUGACAUGGUCAUCACUCCUCGUCGUAAUUACGAUCGUUUAACUUCUCAAGCACAACAGUAUAUUACUAAAUUUCUUCGAUCGUGGAUUACUCCAUGUGAACCACCUGGUAGGAAUGUGGAGUUCUCAAUUGGUCAUAAUUGGAAACAUAGUUGACAACUUUGAAGUCAAGUUUUACCAGCCUUGCAGGAUCCAAGUUACGGGGUUUUUGUGCAAUCAAUUUGGCCGGUGUUCACUGUGCAAGCAUCAUAGAGAGGAAUUUUAGUCUCCUGAUUAGAUUGUGUGUAUUUACGAAGGAGGAAUAACACAUAACAUAAUCACAACUGAGGAACUUAUACUGAUAUUUGAAGAUUAUUUAGAACAUAAACAUACAAAUUUUCUUUUAUGAUGAAUGGAUGUGAUUUUAUGGUUUCGUCUAAAUGAUGUCAUAUAUUUUUCAGGAAUGAAAUUACCUUUUGUUUUCA